rnacentral:rRNA from 1 species
UACGAAGGGGGCUAGCGUUGUUCGGAAUUACUGGGCGUAAAGCGCGUGUAGGCGGGUCUUUAAGUCAGGGGUGAAAUGCCAAGGCUCAACCUUGGAACUGCCUUUGAUACUGGAGAUCUUGAGUCCGGGAGAGGUGAGUGGAAUUCCGAGUGUAGAGGUGAAAUUCGUAGAUAUUCGGAAGAACACCAGUGGCGAAGGCGGCUCACUGGACCGGUAUUGACGCUGAGGUGCGAAAGCGUGGGGAGCAAACAGG